rnacentral:lncRNA from 1 species
AAAGAAAGGGUAGCAGGUGUGCCUCCCAACCAACCCUUUAUUGCCUGGGCAUGUGACAGCAUUUUGCGGCACCUCAGUAAUGAGCCAGAGAAGAAGGAAAGGCAGAUGAAUUUGCCAGCAUUAUUGCAGGUACAGUCAUGUGCCGCAUAAUGACAUUCAGUCAAUGACAGACUGCAUAUAUGAGGUGGUCCUGUAAGGUGAUAAUGGAGCUGAAAAAUUCCUACUACUGAACGACAUCAUAGCCAUUGUAACAUCAUAGCACAACCAAUCACCUUUUCUAUAUUUAGGAGCAAAGGCAAUACAAUGGAGAAGACAGUCUUUUAACAAAGGUGCUGGAAUAACUGGACAGCCAUGCACACACACAGAAAAGAAUCGAGACACAGACUUUACAUCUUCACAAAGGUACAACACUGAAGGCACCGCCCAUGAAAGAAACAACUGAUAGGCUGAACUCCAUUAAAAUUAAAAGCUUUUGCUCUGCAAAUACAAGAGAAUGAGAACACAAACCGUGAUGCUGAAGUUACAAGUCUGAACCACACGUAGACUAUCAUAGCAAGAUGGCUACAGAAGUUCUGGAAAUAUACCAGACGUGGCAAUGCUGCAGAGGAAGGAGGGAGAAUAUGCCUUUCUGCAGAUCUUUCUUGGAGGAGAGAUAAGGAGUUCAUAUGCUGGAAUGAUAGUGACACAGGAGUUUAACACUCCUACAGUAUCCAGAGCCUGGAUCCCUGAGUCAUCAGAUGGAGAAGAACUACUCAGGAGAGUCAUCCAACCUUCAUAGACAGUGGCAUGAGUGGG